CUGUAAGACACUGAUCUGGAACAACAGGACACUAUGAUCUGUCACUGACUACACGCCCCACCACGGUACAGAGAGGGAGAGUCCCAAAGUCAUCCAAGUCUUUAGCAGUUUGAAAAAGAGUCCGAUCAUCACCAUGUUCAGAGAGCAGUCCUGGAUAACUACGAAACCCUCAAUACUAGAGUGGGUGGACUUGUUGGAGAAUUUCUUAGGUACUAGCUAAGACAUGACUAUUAGUCUUUUAUCAAAUGAGUAACAUAUUUUUCUGGUUUAAAUUAACAUUACAAAUAUAUAUGAAACAAAACAGGUCCUGGUGAAAAGGAUUUCAGUAAAGAAAAAAAAAUUUUAGAGCAACUGCUAAACUAUCUUUGUAUUGUUUAAAAACUCAGUCGAGGUAUUUCAUUGACUUAAUGGAAUUCA
rnacentral:lncRNA from 1 species